UACGAAGGGGGCUAGCGUUGUUCGGAUUUACUGGGCGUAAAGCGCACGUAGGCGGACUUUUAAGUCAGGGGUGAAAUCCUAGAGCUCAACUCUGGAACUGCCUUUGAUACUGGAAGUCUUGAGUAUGGAAGAGGUUGGUGGAACUGCGAGUGUAGAGGUGAAAUUCGUAGAUAUUCGCAAGAACACCAGUGGCGAAGGCAAUCCCCUGGACCUGUACUGACGCUCAUGCACGAAAGCGUGGGGAGCAAACAGG
rnacentral:rRNA from 1 species